rnacentral:rRNA from 1 species
UGGGGAAUAUUGCACAAUGGGCGCAAGCCUGAUGCAGCCAUGCCGCGUGUAUGAAGAAGGCCUUCGGGUUGUAAAGCACUUUCAGCGGGGAGGAAGGCGUUAAGGUUAAUAACCUUGGCGAUUGACGUUACCGACAGAAGAAGCACCGGCUAACUCCGUGCCAGCAGCCGCGGUAAUACGGAGGGUGCAAGCGUUAAUCGGAAUUACUGGGCGUAAAGCGCACGCAGGCGGUUGAUUGAGUCAGAUGUGAAAUCCCCGGGCUUAACCCGGGAAUUGCAUCUGAUACUGGUCAGCUAGAGUCUUGUAGAGGGGGGUAGAAUUCCAUGUGUAGCGGUGAAAUGCGUAGAGAUGUGGAGGAAUACCGGUGGCGAAGGCGGCCCCCUGGACAAAGACUGACGCUCAGGUGCGAAAGCGUGGGGAGCAAACAGG